CCUAAUUGUUUCUGUAAGUCACUCUGGAUAAGAGUGUCUGCUAAAUGACUAAAA
rfam:Salmo salar isolate Sally breed double haploid chromosome ssa13, whole genome shotgun sequence.